GUCUUCUGCGCCCACGCCCCGAGCUGCUGCCAACGGCCAUAAAUACGAUUAGCUGCUGCUGAUUCCGGCCGUCGACGAUGCACAAAAGAUCAAGGCUAAGAAUCAGCUAGAUUCUUACUUUCUGUAGCCCGCCUAGUCUGCUGGAGGGGGAGGAUGACACGGCCUGGCCUCUCCUCGCCUCCGGCCGUUCCGGCUCCAGCGGUGCUGCAGCUGCUGUGGGGUGGCUCCGGCUUUUCUUGUAAAGUUCAGCAGGGGAGGAUACACGGCCUGGCCUCUCCUCGCCUCCGGCCGUUCCGGUUCCAGCGGUGCUGCAACUGCUGUGGGGCGGGUCCAGCAAUUCUUUUAAUGAUCAUAUGGGUUGACGGCAGGUAAGUAAGUAGUUAAGAAAAUAUCCCUGGUGUUUCUUGAGGCUCGUGUACGUCGAGUCAUUGAUGGCAGGUAAUGUAGUAGGUGUAAGGUAUUUCUGGUGACAACAUGCUGUCUUUUGUAGUCGGUGUUUCGUACGGUUGGCCGGAAUUAAGUGUGUUCACUGUUUUGAUUAUUCUGCAGUGUUACUUUACUAGCUAAUUCAUCCGUUCGCCUUGUUAUUUUGUAUUAAGGCGAAAGGGAGGGGGGCCUGCUUCUUCAUGUGAUAUACGAGCGUCGAAUGAGUUUUAUCCAAGUUGUGGGUUUCAUUUCCUCACUACUGGGCAGUAUCAUGGUUGUUAUUUGUCAGUGUUAUGCGUUUUGCAAGUGGGCAGACUUGGUUCAGUGCCAUUUGCUGCAAAUGGGGCUGAUCGCUGUUUGUUCUAUCUGCUCUGCGCCAUUUUCAAAAGAUACCGUCUUAUUGUAUUUAUAGGACUAACUCCGUCCCAAAAUAAGUGAUUCGAUUAUGUCUAGAUACGAAUGCAUCUAGACACAUUUUAGUUGUAGAUAAAUCCUCAUUUGCUAUCAAUCUGAUAAAAAUAGGUGUUGUUUGGAUUGGGUAAUGACACUGACAGGAGAUGUUGUAACCAUCUUGUGCUGUGUAGGACUUGUCGAUCUCUGUUUUGGUUCAAGUAGUACAUACAUAUUGGA